UACGGAGGGGACUAGCGUUGUUCGGAAUUACUGGGCGUAAAGCGCACGUAGGCGGUUUUGUAAGUCAGGGGUGAAAUCCCGGGGCUCAACCUCGGAACUGCCUUUGAUACUGCAAAUUUCGAGUCCGGAAGAGGUGAGUGGAAUUCCUAGUGUAGAGGUGAAAUUCGUAAAUAUUAGGAAGAACACCAGUGGCGAAGGCGGCUCACUGGUCCGGUACUGACGCUGAGGUGCGAAAGCGUGGGGAGCAAACAGG
rnacentral:rRNA from 1 species